rnacentral:misc_RNA from 1 species
UCCGGUUUGUCACCGGCAGUCUCCCUAGAGUGCCCUUGCGUAGCAACUAGGGACAAGGGUUGCGCUCGUUGCGGGACUUAACCCAACAUCUCACGACACGAGCUGACGACAGCCAUGCAGCACCUGUGUCCAGGUUCCCUUUCGGGCACACCCCCAUCUCUGGGGGCUUCCUGGCAUGUCAAGGGUAGGUAAGGUUUUUCGCGUUGCAUCGAAUUAAUCCACAUAAUCCACCGCUUGUGCGGGCCCCCGUCAAUUCCUUUGAGUUUCAGCCUUGCGGCCGUACUCCCCAGGCGGGGUACUUACUGCGUUAGCUUCGUUACCAAGGAAUUGCUUCCCCGACAACCAGUUGACAUAGUUUAGGGCGUGGACUAC